rfam:Geobacter sulfurreducens PCA, complete genome.
UUUUCGAAGAGGUAAACCCCGGGUAACCGGGGGGCACAAAGCUGCGGGUCCCGCCUGAAACAGCGGGACAGCCGGGUUGGCGAA